rnacentral:rRNA from 1 species
GCGGUCGCCUCCUAAAAGGUAACGGAGGCGCUCAAAGGUUCCCUCAGAAUGGUUGGAAAUCAUUCAUAGAGUGUAAAGGCAUAAGGGAGCUUGACUGCGAGACUUACAAGUCGAGCAGGGUCGAAAGACGGACUUAGUGAUCCGGUGGUUCCGCAUGGAAGGGCCAUCGCUCAACGGAUAAAAGCUACCCCGGGGAUAACAGGCUUAUCUCCCCCAAGAGUUCACAUCGACGGGGAGGUUUGGCACCUCGAUGUCGGCUCAUCGCAUCCUGGGGCUGUAGUCGGUCCCAAGGGUUGGGCUGUUCGCCCAUUAAAGCGGUACGCGAGCUGGGUUCAGAACGUCGUGAGACAGUUCGGUCCCUAUCCGUCGUGGGCGUAGGAAAUUUGAGAGGAGCUGUCCUUAGUACGAGAGGACCGGGAU